AGGGAAACCGAGUCUUAACUGGGCGUUAAGUUGCAGGGUAUAGACCCGAAACCCGGUGAUCUAGCCAUGGGCAGGUUGAAGGUUGGGUAACACUAACUGGAGGACCGAACCGACUAAUGUUGAAAAAUUAGCGGAUGACUUGUGGCUGGGGGUGAAAGGCCAAUCAAACCGGGAGAUAGCUGGUUCUCCCCGAAAGCUAUUUAGGUAGCGCCUCGUGAACUCAUCUUCGGGGGUAGAGCACUGUUUCGGCUAGGGGGUCAUCCCGACUUACCAACCCGAUGCAAACUGCGAAUACCGAAGAAUGUUAUCACGGGAGACACACGGCGGGUGCUAACGUCCGUCGUGAAGAGGGAAACAACCCAGACCGCCAGCUAAGGUCCCAAAGUCACAGUUAAGUGGGAAACGAUGUGGGAAGGCUCAGACAGCCAGGAUGUUGGCUUAGAAGCAGCCAUCAUUUAAAGAAAGCGUAAUAGCUCACUGGUCGAGUCGGCCUGCGCGGAAGAUGUAACGGGGCUAAACUGUGCACCGAAGCUGCGGCAGCGACGCUUAUGCGUUGUUGGGUAGGGGAGCGUUCUGUAAGCCUGCGAAGGUGUCCUGUGAGGGAUGCUGGAGGUAUCAGAAGUGCGAAUGCUGACAUAAGUAACGAUAAUGCGGGUGAAAAGCCCGCUCGCCGGAAGACCAAGGGUUCCUGUCCAACGUUAAUCGGGGCAGGGUGAGUCGAC
rnacentral:rRNA from 1 species